UUAGGCAAAAUGAUUAGUCUGCUUAUAUAAAAAUGUGUUGCUAAGCAACUGCAUCAAUGGAAUAUUUCAGUUAUGAUUUGAAGUUCUCUAGCUCCCCUUAGCCAUAACAAAAAUAGACAUUCCGUGGCUAAUGAAAUCAUCUUCUCAUAAAAUAUGGAAACCUGAGACUAAUUUUCUGAAACAAUGUGUCCUAAAAAACAUGGCAACAUAUUCUUAUUAUAAUACGAAGGGGCACUUGCUAACUUUAAUCUGUUUUUCUUUCCUAUGGAAAAUGGACUUUUUUCCCCUCCCCAAACAAGCUCUCAAUUACUCCAGCAAGUUUCUUAGCAUUCAGUAAAAUAAUUGGACAUAUAUUUCCUUUCAGAAGAAAUCAUAGUUAUAGUCAUUAAGAAUGGAGACCUUCAAAACUCCCCAUUACAUAAGAGAUCAAGUAUGUUCAUCAGCCUGAUAUUUAAAGUUUCCUACAGAUAUAGCCACAGCAUCAGAGACACAGAAAUAAAAGGAAUCUCAGAAGGAAGCCAGAAAGGCAUCCCAAGGAAGAGAGACAACCUGUACAAAAACACAGAGAUAUAAAAUGGAAUAUUUUUUGCGAGGAGGAGCAAGGAGGUCAACAUUUGGCCAUACCUUAGAGUGUGCGAACAGGAGCAAUGUGUAAUAAAUCAGGAAAGAUAAGCUGGACUUGAAUUGUGAGUGGAAUAAAUACAUUUGUCUUGUGAGUUUUUCUUCUAGAUCAUAUGAUUCCCAAAGAAUCCCUUACUUUU